rnacentral:piRNA from 1 species
UCUCCAUGCUGUGAAGCGUGCAGGAUGUGU